rnacentral:piRNA from 1 species
UAAAAGUGAGAUGGAUUGAUUGCUUACUUU